AUCUUGCGCAAUGGCCGAAAGGCUGACGCAGCGACGCCGCGUGGGGGAGGAAGGCCUUCGGGUUGUAAACCCCUGUUGCCCGGGACGAACCCCUGGUUUCGACCAGGUUGACGGUACCGGGUGAGGAAGCACCGGCUAACUCCGUGCCAGCAGCCGCGGUAAUACGGAGGGUGCGAGCGUUGUUCGGAAUUACUGGGCGUAAAGCGAGUGUAGGCGGUCUGUAAAGUCAGGUGUGAAAGCCCCGGGCUCAACCCGGGAAGUGCACUUGAAACUCACAGGCUAGAGUAUCGGAGAGGUUGGUGGAAUUCUCGGUGUAGAGGUGAAAUUCGUAGAUAUCGAGAGGAACACCGGUGGCGAAGGCGGCCAACUGGACGAAUACUGACGCUGAGACUCGAAAGCGUGGGGAGCAAACAGG
rnacentral:rRNA from 1 species